rnacentral:rRNA from 1 species
AUUGAACGCUGGCGGCAUGCCUAACACAUGCAAGUCGAACGAGUGGCGGACGGGUGAGUAAUUUCUGGGAAACUGCCUGAUGGAGGGGGAUAACUACUGGAAACGGUAGCUAAUACCGCAUACCAUCAGAUUUUCCCAUAUGGGAUUAGCUAGUUGGUGGGGUAACGGCUCACCAAGGCGACGAUCCCUAGCUGGUCUGAGAGGAUGACCAGGCACACUGGAACUGAGACACGGUCCAGACUCCUACGGGAGGCAGCAGUGGGGAAUAUUGGACAAUGGGCGAAAGCCUGAUGCAGCCAUGCCGCAUGUAUGAAGAAGGCCUUCGGGUUGUAAAGUACUUUCAGCGGGGAGGCGUUACCAGCAGAAGAAGCACCGGCUAACUCCGUGCCAGCAGCCGCGGUAAUAC